CAAUUUCUGGUUGAGGAGUAUGGGUGAUUCUGCAAGGUCAAGUGCUCUGAGAUUGGAUCUCCUCUUUCAAGCUGUGAGAGCUAUGUCUGGCUGCUCAUAUCCAAUUCUGACAGUGUCUGAUCAUGCAUACCACAGAACAAGACAUCCAUUAGUCCAUGAAGGAUUACCUAGUGGCUCAAGUACAUGAUCUAGAGAAGGAUGUGGAGGGAGGAAAGAAACAAGCAUGGAAAGACCUACCAGACCCAGAUGGCUGGAUAGGCAAAUCACCGACGUCAACAUCUGAACUGAUAAUGAGACAGGAUGAGGAUGACAUCCUGAAGCCAAGGGACACUCAGUCCUGGGACUCUGCACAGAGGGAUCAUCUGUUGGAUGAAAAGAAAUACAAUAAACACAAGCCAUUAUACAGCUGGAAGAGUCCCCACCUAUGUGAACGUAGCCUGACUCAGUAGUUAAGAACAUACAUUUCUACCAACAAGACUCUGUCCCAAAAAUCAUAGAAUCAUAGAAUUGGAAGAGACCUCAUAUGCCAUUCAGUCCAACCCCCUGCCAAGAAGGAAAAUCGCAUUCAAAGCACCCACAACAGAUGGCCGUCCAGCCUCUGCUUAAAAACCUCCAAAGAAGGAGCCUCCACCACAGUCCGGGGCAGAGAGUUCCACUGCUGAACAGCUCUCACAGUCAAGAAGUUCUUCCUAAUGUUCAGGUGGAAUCUCCUUUCUGACAACAAAUUCUCUACAACAAAUGGCAAAUCAAUCUUUUCCUCACUCCAUGGAGAGAAGACACAUGCAGCAGCACAAUACCAAAUAAGUGUCUGUAAGCCUCAUUUUAUUUGUAUCAUUUGACUCUUUCGCACUAAAGGAAAGUAGGCAUCAAACAUUAAGAGAAAAACUUUGUAUUUCACUGUUUCACUAGAGAUAUUGGGAAGCAAUAUCAUUUUUCCUAAAUCAUGAAAAUGUUUCCUCCUUGCUGUUAGGAUUAAUAUGAACAAGAGGAUGGUCCAUUUUGAACUUGCCAUCAGAGAUAGAACAACAAAUCGUGUCCAUCCAUUGGAGUGCAUAAUAUCCAAGAUUGAUCUUUUUUUUCCCACUCAG